AAUAUCUAAGCCUCUGUAGCACCUAGAAACAUGAAAUAAAAAGCAUGCUGCACUACGCAGCAUCCAGCGGGAGGGUCAAUGUUGCGCUACGCAGCUUCCAGCGGGGGGGC